rnacentral:rRNA from 1 species
UGGGGAAUAUUGGACAAUGGGCGAAAGCCUGAUCCAGCCAUGCCGCGUGUGUGAAGAAGGCCUUUUGGUUGUAAAGCACUUUAAGCGAGGAGGAGGCUACUAGUACUAAUACUACUGGAUAGUGGACGUUACUCGCAGAAUAAGCACCGGCUAACUCUGUGCCAGCAGCCGCGGUAAUACAGAGGGUGCAAGCGUUAAUCGGAAUUACUGGGCGUAAAGCGCGCGUAGGUGGUUCGUUAAGUUGAAUGUGAAAGCCCCGGGCUCAACCUGGGAACUGCAUCCAAAACUGGCGAGCUAGAGUAGGGCAGAGGGUGGUGGAAUUUCCUGUGUAGCGGUGAAAUGCGUAGAUAUAGGAAGGAACACCAGUGGCGAAGGCGACCACCUGGGCUCAUACUGACACUGAGGUGCGAAAGCGUGGGGAGCAAACAGG